AGUAAGAAAUUUCAGUUUCUGUUUGAAAACCCUUUGUUUUUUUAAGCUACAUCAGUGGUCAUAUAUGGUUCAGUAAUUUUGGAAAGGAAAACAAAAUAGGACUAUACUCUUUGCAAGCCCUUUCUUGAUCGGUUUCUGUUUACCCCUACAAAGUUAUCCCUCUGCUGACACACUAUAUUCCGGCCAUACUGAAUGUUUCAGUUUCCCAAACUCACCACCUUAUCAACUCCUGCUGGAAGACCCUUCUUCCUUCUCACUUUGCCUGGUUUUCUCCAAAUCCUCUUUCAUGUAUCUGCUCAGAUACCGCUGCCUUCCAGAAGCUUGUCCAGACCGUGUGAGUGCCCAGCUCUGUGUUCCCACAAGUACUAACAUUGCCCUGUUGGUGACUGUCUGCCUUAAGCCUGUGAGUUGUACCAGGGCGUGAGCUCCUUGAGGGUGAGGGCAGUGUUCCCAUUCCUGUUGACUCACUGCCUAGGUUUGUGACCAGCUCUCCCCCUUCUAAGUUGCUUAACUUGCUAAGUUACUUAUUGCUUUACCGCUGUGUCUCAGGUCAUUAUUUGUUCAAUGAGUGUAAUUAUGUCUUCCUUAUAGAUAAAAUCAGUUAAUCUAAAACAUGGAGAUCAGAGUCCGACACAUGGUAAAUCUCAGUGUUAGUUCUUGUUCUGACCAGUGUCUAGCAGUGAGCUUGUGUUCUGUGCUGGCAAUAACUCUCAGCUGACUGAGUAAAUGGCAUUCCUGUAGAAGAACUGUAUCUUAUCAGUGUUGUAGAUUAGUUCAAGCAGUUAGUAUUCACAAAGACAUGACCAAUAGUAGACAACAAGAAUAGCAAUGUCAGGUUAUGUCUCUAUAAUUCUGUUACCGUGUCAAUGUAUAUCAGCAUGCACAGAAAUAUCUUCUCUAGAGAAUGAAAUGGUUAAAGAAAUACUGCAAAAAUGGGACUUAUAGGGAAGACAUAUUGUUUAAGGAGACAGUGCAAAGGGCAGCCGAUGGGGAUGGGAGAGGGAAAUGUCUGGCUUAGCAGGAUGAGGGGGAAAGAAUAGUACAGAUGGCUGCUGUCAAAGAUGAUGGACAGGGCAUAGGGCAUUUGCAAGGAAGAUGUUGCAGAAAUUAAAAAAGAAAAA